UGAAUGUUGUACACCUCAGCAUGUCGUCCCUUUUCGACCAAAUUAUCUACAGAAACAUUGUACAUUCAGUUUUCAGGCAAAAAUGUUCAGAGAUAAUUAAGAUACAGAAAACUAAUUAUGGCUGGUAAUGUUUCAUUAACCUAGGAAACUAAUUCUUGCUUUGACAGUAAACGGACAACAAUUGAUCAUAACAAUAUUGUCAUUCUUGCUUUGACAGUAAACAGACAACAAUUGACUAAUUCUUGCUUUGACAGUAAACAUACAACAAUUGACAGUACACAGACUGAAUUUAUAUGUACUUCUUCUUCUUCUUCUUCUUCUUCUUCUUCUUCUACUUCUACUUCUACUUCUACUUCAUCUUACAUAUUCAUAUCUUCAGGAGAAAAUGGAUCUCCCAGACCUCAACUUCACUCCACCUGCAGAAGAUGUGGAUGAAAUGGAUGAAAAUGCAGAAAAUGAAAUGGAAGGACAUGUAGGAGAUGAUAUGGAAGGAGAUGCCGGAGAGGGAAUGGAAGGAGAUGAAAUUGUUCAAAAUCCAGGUACAGUUACACUUGAUCAUUCCAUCAUUUCAUCACUUGAUCAUUCCAUCACUUCAUCACUUGAUCAUUUCAUUUAAUCAUUUUUUGUUGUAUGUCUUGGUGCAGGUGCUGGGCAAGUUGGUAGAAAAAAUAAAACCCUCAAUGACCAGCAAAAAUUUGCUGCUUAUGUAGCAUUGCAUACACUGUGUAUGAGUAGAGGAGGCACUUUUAAGAAAACUGAUACGCAAGAUAUUGCAAAUUUUUUUGGAGUGGGUGUUUGGAAUAUACAAAGAAUUUGGAGGAAAGCAAUGUUGCAAAUUCAACAAGGUCAAGAGGUAGAUGUUGCCGAUCAGAGAAAAGGAAAUUCUGGAAGAAAGCCUAAGGACAUUAACCUAGAAAAAAUCCUAACAAUCCCAUUAAACAGGAGGUCUACUAUUAGAUCACUAGCCUGGCAACUGGGAUGUAGCCCUACCACACUUCAUAGAAAGUUCAUGCUAAAUUUGAUUAGGAGGCAUAGAGAAAGUCUUGCCAGCGAUACAAGCAGUUUGGCCGGAAAGUGAUGCUGGACAGACCAUCUACAUUCAGCAGGAUAAUGCUAAGCCCCAUAUCUUGCCAGAUGACCAGGAAUUUCUAGCAGUUGUCGCAAAAACUGGACUUGACAUUAGAUUAGUACAACAGCCUGCCAACAGUCCUGAUUUGAAUGUGCUUGACCUUGAGUUUUUCAACUCGCUGCAAUUGCUGACAGAUUGUCUGAGUCCUAAAACACUACAAGACCUUAUUGCAGGUGUUUUGGAGGAAUUUGAAGGCUAUGAUGUUUACAAGCUCAACAGAAUUUUCCUAACUCUACAAAUGUGCAUGAUUGAGAUCAUGAACCAUGCGGGGGGAAAUGGGUAUAAAAUACCACAUGUUAACAAGGAAAGGCUUGAGGGUCUGGGGCAGCUACCUCCAAGACUAACAUGCCCGAAAGAGGUUUACACGAAUGCCCUAUACAACUUAGAGGUAAUGGGGAGGGUUCAGUGAUGAGGCUUGUUCGGAUGCUUGAGAUGAGGCUUGUUCGGAUGCUUGAGAUGAGGCUUGUUCCGAUGCUUGAGAUGAGGCUUGUUCCGAUGCUUGACAUGAGGCUUGUUCAGAUGCUUGAGAUGAGGCUUGUUCCGAUGCUUGACAUGAGGCUUGUUCGGAUGCUUGAGAUGAGGCUUGUUCCGAUGCUUGACAUGAGGCUUGUUCAGAUGCUUGAGAUGAGCUUGUUCAGAUGCUUGACAUGAGGCUUGUUCAGAUGUGGAGUAUGUGUAGUUCCUUGAGAUGAGACUUGUGCGGAGUGCAUCCCAUGUGAAAUUACUCCAUAUGUGUAAUACUCCAUUUUGUGAGGCUUGUAUGUGUAACUCCAUUUUGUGAUCAUUUUUACUCCAUAUAUUUUUUCUCCAUUUUGUGAGACUUGUAUGUGUAAUUCAUUUGCUUGUGUGGAGUACUCCAUUUAAAUGAAAGAGAAGAGAAGAGAGUAGUAGGAGACAAGAUUAGUGAAUUUAGAGAUGAGAAGAUAAUUUAGAGAAGAAGAGAACAAGCAAAGUAGUAGGAGAGGAAAUGAGUGGGAGAGGAGAGGAGUAUGGAGGGCACAAGGGAAGUACACUAAACUACAGAUGCAAGAAGAGAAAGAGAAGAGAGAAGAAGAGAGAAGAGAAGUCCUGCUGUAACUGAAAAAGUUUCAGUUAAGUAACUGAAAAAAUUCAGUUAAUGAACUAAAACUUACACCAAACUAUUGCUGUCCUACACUAAACUACUGAUGUCCUACACUACUGCAAGUGCUAUACUACUGCAAGUCUGCAACUGUUAAAUUAACAAAAAAAGUUUCAUUUAGUUUUACUUAAAGGAAAAGAUUCAUUUUAAGCUAAUGUACCAAGUCAACAGAAGAUUAAUGACAAGAUUAACAGUAGCAGAAGCUUCAUGUGUUAAAAUCUGAAGCUUCAUGGGCAAAAUUACAGAAGCUUCAUGUGCAAAAUUACAGAAUUUGCAAAACUGAAAAUGUGAUUCAGAAAAUAAAACGACCCCCAAAAUAAAAUUACUGGAGAGCAUGGCAUUAUACCUGAACUGUAUAGAUAGCCACUUUGGAAAAUAAAACGACCCCCAAAACUGAGAAACAGGAUCCCACAUGGAGUACAGUACAAGGUUAGUGAUGAACUCAC
rnacentral:lncRNA from 1 species